UCUAGCAAAGAGCCAGAGAAGGCGCAUCUGCUAGAACCUGCUACUUUUCAGCACAGAAUGGACAAACAGCACCUGUCUACUCUUCUCUUCUCACUUAGUCCUGGUGAAGAGGCCUGGCCUGGCAUGACACAGGGUAAGACUUGCCACCUACCAACCUCUAUCAUCUGAGCAUUUAUUUUGGUUACUGCUCAUGGCCUAUCUCCUUAAUCCGGAGUGAGUCCCAUUGAGGGAAGAAAGAUGACCAGAGUGGGGACAAGCAAGAAGAGAGAAAACUGCCGGUUUAAUCCACAUGCUCGGCGGGUAGCAACAAAUCCAACACAUCUCAGGAUGUGUGCCAUGGAUACAACCAAGACCCCAGGGGCUGGUCUUGAUGUGGGGCCAAGAAGGCGCUUCACAGCACUGUAACUCGAUUUCCUUCUGAUUCUCUGAGAGAAUAUUAGUCAUCUAUAAAGGAAUCCCCAUUUACCUAGCAUAAUUACAAUGCUAGGAAAAUGUAUUUCAUUUAUUUUGUAUUCCGUGUUUGGAAGUCUGCUUCAGACUGUAAUUGCAGCCGAAAUCCCAGUAGUAAACAACCAGCUUGCAUUUUAUAUGUUACCAUGAGGCUCUCUCUCCAGGUUUGCUCUUCAGAGCCAAGGAAAUGUUGACACAGUUGCACACCAAGUUUCAACAUGCUGAUCAUGUUAAAAUAGUGCACAAGAAAUAUUUUUCCACUUUAUAAAAAGCCAGACUGUUUACAUGCUUAAGUGGCCAGAGACUUUGCUAUCUGUGUGUGGUCCUGAAGUUUCAAUAUCAUAACCAUGAGUACAAAGUGAGGCAGCAUGCAACAAACUUGGCUAUGGAGCUCCUCAACCAAAACGGGAAUCAAGACAUUACUAUCCGAGAACUCAGAAACAGGCAGGUUUAAACUGGGUGGGGGAGGAAGAGGCCUUAUCUAACACAGUUUUGAAGAAAAAAAUAACUUAAUAGAGCUUGGUUAUAUGUGUACUUGUGUAGCAAUGUAUAUGAUUAAGUAGGAAAACAAGAGGGAGAGAGAGAACAGGAAGGGCUCACAGGGUCUUCAGCCUUUAUAUUUCUUAUAAAAUCACAGAAAUAUGCCAAAUACAGUGUUCAGGAACUCCAAGCCCAGAGUUCCAUAGUAGAAAAGAUCUACAAACAGUUACUGAGCACAGAUCCUAAGGACAAACUUGAGAAUGAGAAGAGGCUUUGCUUCAACUUGGCCCAGUGGCUCAGCACAGGCCGUGGCCCCCUCCCAGGAAGCACCAAGCAGAGCAGGGGCCCCAAGUUCACAGCCAGGCCAAAGGAGAAGACAGGCCUUUCCCCCUUUCCAAGCAGUACUGGCUUUGGCUGACAACUUAGUGUUUCUUCAAGCUAGAAAUAGAAUUUACACAGAAGUUCCACCCUGUCCAGACAAGAUAGAAGUGACAAGAGACCUCACAGAAAGAAAAAUUAUCUACAUCCGUGAAACUGAAGACAUGUCCACAUUCCCAGAGUCUAGAGUUUAACACUUGGGACAGUCUCCGGAUUCUGGGCUGUUUGCACUUACCAUUCCUCAAAAUCCCCAAUGCUUCAGGUUGGUGAGCACUGCUGGUUCUCACGUUUUUAAUGACUUUUCAUUCGAAGGACCAACCUUCAUACUACACUGUGUGUCAACAAAACCCAAAUCUCAUAAUGUGGGCAAAUUCAUGCUGCAACAGGAGAUGACCUUUCCCUUUUGACGGCCAAAUGCACACACUGUUACUCUCAGUUGACCGAGUACGCGAGAGAAUGGUACUUCAUUAAAAAACUUUUUUUCCUGGCAUUAUUCUAUUUUUCCUCCUACAGUUUCUUUUACAGAGUCUUCUGUGGCUAUAGGUCAGGAGAGUUUUCCCGUUGCCAUGAGAACAGUGUAAAUAAGUGAACUUUAAAAUUC